GGUUUUCCUUAUCUAUCUAGUACGUUGAUUUAUCUGGAACCUGUCCCAUUGUGCUUUCACGGGAAAACACAAUAAGACAGGUUCUGUGUUUAGUUGCCGUGCGCCUUAAGGCG
rnacentral:sRNA from 1 species